CUGUAUGCUGCCAAAAAAAAAAAAAAAAACAGUAGUGUUUGACAAAAUCCCAAAUUCUCCAUAAUUCUUUCUGGGCUCUAGUGUUUAUGCCAGUAGAGUGGAUUCCAAGACACCACCAGUAUCUAAUGCGUGUUACCAUUUUUGUUACAGUUUAAUGGGACCUCUACCCGAAAGCCUAUGUUUUUAUAAUGAAACAAAUAAUGCUGACACAAGCUGAUUGAUGAUAAUAAUAGGGUAUAUACUGACAAGAUGCUAUGGGGUGCACUAUUAAACACAGGGACAACAUAAAGGCACAGUCCAACCUGCUAUGGAGUACACUAUUAAACACAGGGACAACAUAAAGGCACAGUCCAACCAGCAGCUGCUGCUAGGGUUGUGGGUAUGGGAGCCACUGAAUUUAACAAAAUAGAUGAUGUGCAAUUUCUGUUGGGAUCAGCUGCCACCUUGGUUGUGUUUUAAAUCCCUGGCAGGUGAAAAUAGUCCAUACAAUAUACUGUACAUUAUAGAAGCAAACUUUCCUUCCCAGAAUUUCUACUGUUUUUCUAAACACAAUGUGGGAGACAGGUCAUCUUCAUCAACAUUUGAGGGGCCAUUGUUGCCAGGCUUGUGAUAAGAUGGGGAUGUAAAGAGGUAGCCAAUAAUGGUUAAACACAAAGUCCUGUCACUAUGCAGAAUUGUGGGGCAUAAUCUAUAUUCUAUCUGGCUUUUGUAUUUUUUAGGAAACUAUUGUUCUCUAUUUUGCAGAUUUUUUUGGAUUAGGAAUGAAAAAAAAAUUCUUUGAACAUUUUUAGUAUCUACAUGGAAAUGGAGUUGUUCAACGAGAUCUCAAACCAUAUGUCUCUAUGCAGACAUUACUCCUGACUCCCUUUUAAAAAUUGUGGACUUCGGACUGUCCAAAAUUAGUGAUGACCAGGUGGCCAUGAAGACCAUAUGUGGCACUCCAGGAUACUGUGAUUAUGUGGAUUUGAACCAUUUUUUGAUCCAAAGGGAUAUCAAUACAUAUACAGCAAAAUCCUAAAUUGUGACUUUGAUUUUUGUGUAUCCCUGUUGGGAUGAAAUCUCCCUAAAUGCUAAGGACUUGGUACUGACUGCGGGAUGGAGCUAAGACAGCAUAGAAGGACAGCAGGUCACCCAAAGAGAUUCAGGGACAAAUCAACAUCCCCAGCAGCGCUACAGAGGAUGUAGCAGAGUGCAGCAUGUUCCAAGCCCUGGUCUCAAGCCUGCUCGCCUGACCCUGCUACUUCCAGCGCCCCUAUGCAGCCAGCCAGGAUGUCGAGCCACCCACCAGCCCAAUCAUUCAACCU